rnacentral:rRNA from 1 species
GAUGAACGCUAGCUACAGGCUUAACACAUGCAAGUCGAGGGGCAGCAUUUCAGUUUGCUUGCAAACUGGAGAUGGCGACCGGCGCACGGGUGAGUAACACGUAUCCAACCUGCCGAUAACUCGGGGAUAGCCUUUCGAAAGAAAGAUUAAUACCCGAUGGUAUAAUCAGACCGCAUGGUCUUGUUAUUAAAGAAUUUCGGUUAUCGAUGGGGAUGCGUUCCAUUAGGCAGUUGGUGAGGUAACGGCUCACCAAACCUUCGAUGGAUAGGGGUUCUGAGAGGAAGGUCCCCCACAUUGAAACUGAGACACGGUCCAAACUCCUACGGGAGGCAGCAGUGAGGAAUAUUGGUCAAUGGGCGCAGGCCUGAACCAGCCAAGUAGCGUGAAGGAUGACUGCCCUAUGGGUUGUAAACUUCUUUUAUAUGGGAAUAAAGUUUUCCACGUGUGGAAUUUUGUAUGUACCAUAUGAAUAAGGAUCGGCUAACUCCGUGCCAGCAGCCGCGGUAAUACGGAGGAUCCGAGCGUUAUCCGGAUUUAUUGGGUUUAAAGGGAGCGUAGGUGGACAGUUAAGUCAGUUGUGAAAGUUUGCGGCUCAACCGUAAAAUUGCAGUUGAUACUGGCUGUCUUGAGUACAGUAGAGGUGGGCGGAAUUCGUGGUGUAGCGGUGAAAUGCUUAGAUAUCACGAAGAACUCCGAUUGCGAAGGCAGCUCACUGGACUGCAACUGACACUGAUGCUCGAAAGUGUGGGUAUCAAACAGGAUUAGAUACCCUGGUAGUCCACACAGUAAACGAUGAAUACUCGCUGUUUGCGAUAUACAGUAAGCGGCCAAGCGAAAGCAUUAAGUAUUCCACCUGGGGAGUACGCCGGCAACGGUGAAACUCAAAGGAAUUGACGGGGGCCCGCACAAGCGGAGGAACAUGUGGUUUAAUUCGAUGAUACGCGAGGAACCUUACCCGGGCUUAAAUUGCAUUUGAAUAUAUUGGAAACAGUAUAGCCGUAAGGCAAAUGUGAAGGUGCUGCAUGGUUGUCGUCAGCUCGUGCCGUGAGGUGUCGGCUUAAGUGCCAUAACGAGCGCAACCCUUAUCUUUAGUUACUAACAGGUCAUGCUGAGGACUCUAGAGAGACUGCCGUCGUAAGAUGUGAGGAAGGUGGGGAUGACGUCAAAUCAGCACGGCCCUUACGUCCGGGGCUACACACGUGUUACAAUGGGGGGUACAGAAGGCAGCUACCUGGUGACAGGAUGCUAAUCCCAAAAGCCUCUCUCAGUUCGGAUCGAAGUCUGCAACCCGACUUCGUGAAGCUGGAUUCGCUAGUAAUCGCGCAUCAGCCAUGGCGCGGUGAAUACGUUCCCGGGCCU